UACGAGGGGGGCAAGCGUUGUUCUGAAUUAUUGGGCGUAAAGCGCGUGUAGGCGGGAUGGCAAGUCAGGUGUGAAAGCCCUCGGCUCAACCGAAGAAGUGCGCCUGAAACUACCGUUCUUGAGUGCCGGAGAGGGUGGCGGAAUUCCCGGUGUAGAGGUGAAAUUCGUAGAUAUCGGGAGGAACACCAGUGGCGAAGGCGGCCACCUGGACGGACACUGACGCUGAGACGCGAAAGCGUGGGGAGCAAACAGG
rnacentral:rRNA from 1 species